UAAGAGGCUGGGUCAGGGCAUAG
rnacentral:piRNA from 1 species